rnacentral:rRNA from 1 species
UACGGAGGAUGCGAGCGUUAUCCGGAUUUAUUGGGUUUAAAGGGUGCGUAGGCGGGCUUUUAAGUCAGCGGUAAAAAUUCGGGGCUCAACCCCGUCCGGCCGUUGAAACUGGGGGCCUUGAGUGGGCGAAAAGAAGGCGGAAUGCGUGGUGUAGCGGUGAAAUGCAUAGAUAUCACGCAGAACCCCGAUUGCGAAGGCAGCCUUCCGGCGCCCUACUGACGCUGAGGCACGAAAGUGCGGGGAUCGAACAGG